GUGGUAUCCUGUCUGAAUAUGGGGGGACCAUCCUCCAAGGCUAAAUACUCCUGACUGACCGAUAGUGAACCAGUACCGUGAGGGAAAGGCGAAAAGAACCCCGGCGAGGGGAGUGAAAAAGAACCUGAAACCGUGUACGUACAAGCAGUGGGAGCACAGAGCAAUCUGUGUGACUGCGUACCUUUUGUAUAAUGGGUCAGCGACUUAUAUUCUGUAGCAAGGUUAACCGAAUAGGGGAGCCGAAGGGAAACCGAGUCUUAACUGGGCGUUAAGUUGCAGGGUAUAGACCCGAAACCCGGUGAUCUAGCCAUGGGCAGGUUGAAGGUUGGGUAACACUAACUGGAGGACCGAACCGACUAAUGUUGAAAAAUUAGCGGAUGACUUGUGGCUGGGGGUGAAAGGCCAAUCAAACCGGGAGAUAGCUGGUUCUCCCCGAAAGCUAUUUAGGUAGCGCCUCGUGAAUUCAUCUCCGGGGGUAGAGCACUGUUUCGGCAAGGGGGUCAUCCCGACUUACCAACCCGAUGCAAACUGCGAAUACCGGAGAAUGUUAUCACGGGAGACACACGGCGGGUGCUAACGUCCGUCGUGAAGAGGGAAACAACCCAGACCGCCAGCUAAGGUCCCAAAGUCAUGGUUAAGUGGGAAACGAUGUGGGAAGGCCCAGACAGCCAGGAUGUUGGCUUAGAAGCAGCCAUCAUUUAAAGAAAGCGUAAUAGCUCACUGGUCGAGUCGGCCUGCGCGGAAGAUGUAACGGGGCUAAACCAUGCACCGAAGCUGCGGCAGCGACGCUGAUGCGUUGUUGGGUAGGGGAGCGUUCUGUAAGCCUGUGAAGGUGUGCUGUGAGGCAUGCUGGAGGUAUCAGAAGUGCGAAUGCUGACAUAAGUAACGAUAAAGCGGGUGAAAAGCCCGCUCGCCGGAAGACCAAGGGUUCCUGUCCAACGUUAAUCGGGGCAGGGUGAGUCGACCCCUAAGGCGAGGCCGAAAGGCGUAGUCGAUGGGAAACAGGUUAAUAUUCCUGUACUUGGUGUUACUGCGAAGGGGGGACGGAGAAGGCUAUGUUGGCCGGGCGACGGUUGUCCCGGUUUAAGCGUGUAGGCUGGUUUUCCAGGCAAAUCCGGAAAACUAAGGCUGAGGCGUGAUGACGAGGCACUACGGUGCUGAAGCAACAAAUGCCCUGCUUCCAGGAAAAGCCUCUAAGCAUCAGGUAACAUCAAAUCGUACCCCAAACCGACACAGGUGGUCAGGUAGAGAAUACCAAGGCGCUUGAGAGAACUCGGGUGAAGGAACUAGGCAAAAUGGUGCCGUAACUUCGGGAGAAGGCACGCUGAUAUGUAGGUGAAGUCCCUCGCGGAUGGAGCUGAAAUCAGUCGAAGAUACCAGCUGGCUGCAACUGUUUAUUAAAAACACAGCACUGUGCAAACACGAAAGUGGACGUAUACGGUGUGACGCCUGCCCGGUGCCGGAAGGUUAAUUGAUGGGGUCAGCGCAAGCGAAGCUCUUGAUCGAAGCCCCGGUAAACGGCGGCCGUAACUAUAACGGUCCUAAGGUAGCGAAAUUCCUUGUCGGGUAAGUUCCGACCUGCACGAAUGGCGUAAUGAUGGCCAGGCUGUCUCCACCCGAGACUCAGUGAAAUUGAACUCGCUGUGAAGAUGCAGUGUACCCGCGGCAAGACGGAAAGACCCCGUGAACCUUUACUAUAGCUUGACACUGAACAUUGAGCCUUGAUGUGUAGGAUAGGUGGGAGGCUUUGAAGUGUGGACGCCAGUCUGCAUGGAGCCGACCUUGAAAUACCACCCUUUAAUGUUUGAUGUUCUAACGUUGACCCGUAAUCCGGGUUGCGGACAGUGUCUGGUGGGUAGUUUGACUGGGGCGGUCUCCUCCUAAAGAGUAACGGAGGAGCACGAAGGUUGGCUAAUCCUGGUCGGACAUCAGGAGGUUAGUGCAAUGGCAUAAGCCAGCUUGACUGCGAGCGUGACGGCGCGAGCAGGUGCGAAAGCAGGUCAUAGUGAUCCGGUGGUUCUGAAUGGAAGGGCCAUCGCUCAACGGAUAAAAGGUACUCCGGGGAUAACAGGCUGAUACCGCCCAAGAGUUCAUAUCGACGGCGGUGUUUGGCACCUCGAUGUCGGCUCAUCACAUCCUGGGGCUGAAGUAGGUCCCAAGGGUAUGGCUGUUCGCCAUUUAAAGUGGUACGCGAGCUGGGUUUAGAACGUCGUGAGACAGUUCGGUCCCUAUCUGCCGUGGGCGCUGGAGAACUGAGGGGGGCUGCUCCUAGUACGAGAGGACCGGAGUGGACGCAUCACUGGUGUUCGGGUUGUCAUGCCAAUGGCACUGCCCGGUAGCUAAAUGCGGAAGAGAUAAGUGCUGAAAGCAUCUAAGCACGAAACUUGCCCCGAGAUGAGUUCUCCCUGACUCCUUGAGAGUCCUGAAGGAACGUUGAAG
rnacentral:rRNA from 1 species